CGGCAAGAGUUGGUGUUGAAUUUAAACUCUAAUGUUGGAGGGAUCCCACAUCAGGAAGCUAAUAUAAGAGUGGUUGUGAAGCUGGCUUUAAAUAGAGGGAACCAUGAAGAGAGUAAAUGUACCUUUCUUGGCUGAUCCCUUUCGCUGUAUGGCGUGCUCGUUUGGGUUGGGCGUCGGCUAAGGGUGCUCGGAGUGUGGAUUAACUCCAGUCUCCUAUCAGUUUGAGUGACAGGUGGUGGUUAUCGUAGGCGAUUGAUUUUGGAAACGUUUCAACUUCAACCCAUAACAGGUGUGUACUAACCCUCUAAAUAGCUUAGUUUAAUAUUUGCUGAAAAGCCGAAAGCUUCAUAUUUUAGUGAUUCGGGAAUUAAUAUUUAGAUCUAUUUUCUACGCACGUUUAAGUUGGAUUCACAACGGAUAUGGGGUAGGAAGGUAUUUGGAACAUUCUUCAAUGAGUAGAUCUCUUGUGAGGAUUAAAGGCUGCCGAUCGAGGAGUGUGUGAAAAGCUUGGAUCAUCGGAGUGACUAAAUCUAGUCAUCAACUUCGGCAAAGGAGAAAUUGCAUAGGAGAUCUCGUCAAGGAAUAUCGCAAAUCAGGUGAGCCUUGAUGUGGGGACUUGGGCCGGAGGGGAUUCAGAGUGGCCACGGUGAUCGUCUUGGGCUUUAAAUAAAGUGUUGGUUUCCAUUUAACUUCCUUUAACUAUUAUUUAUUUUUGGGUUGUAAUAAGGCCAAUUUUAACUUUUCUUUUAUUUCUUUUCGGGAUUAUUUUAAUUUUAAUAACUUUAAAAUUGGUUAA